rnacentral:rRNA from 1 species
GGACGAACGCUGGCGGCGUGCCUAACACAUGCAAGUCGAACGGACAGGGGAGCUUGCUCCCCAAGUUAGUGGCGGACGGGUGAGUAACACGUGAGCAACCUGCCCUUCGGAGGGGGACAACAGCGGGAAACUGCUGCUAAUACCGCAUAAUGUAUCCUGGAGGCAUCUCCGGGAUACCAAAGAUUUUAUCGCCGAAGGAUGGGCUCGCGUCUGAUUAGAUAGUUGGUGGGGCAACGGCCCACCAAGUCUGCGAUCAGUAGCCGGACUGAGAGGUUGAACGGCCACAUUGGGACUGAGAUACGGCCCAGACUCCUACGGGAGGCAGCAGUGGGGAAUAUUGGGCAAUGGGGGGCAACCCUGACCCAGCAACGCCGCGUGGAGGAAGAAGGCUUUCGGGUUGUAAACUCCUUUGACGAGGGACGAUGAUGACGGUACCUCGAAAACAAGCCACGGCUAACUACGUGCCAGCCGCUGC